GGCAAUCAAUCAACUGCGAAGAAAACCUUUUUCAAACCAGUGAAAUGUUUUGACACAAGUGCCUCUUCUGGCUGCAAACAUAAUAAUCUACAUACCAACAACAUUUAUCCAAAUUGCACUACUGAAACUCUAAAAAUCGAACAGCUUCAUUCCAAUUCAACUCCCACCGGCUCCCUUGUUUGCUUUCUUAAGAAUGCUAUGCUCUGCUGCUUAUUUGUUCCACUCAAUCAUCCAAUUGGGUGGCUAAUAUGCAAUCAGGUCAAGAGAGGUGAAUAAGUGUCUACGAUCCUAGACAUUCCAAGCGAGGCAAACUUCCUAGAGGGAAAACAGAAGACAAGUACUGAGUUUCUACGAUCUUCACAUUUUUCAUUCGGAUACAACCCAN
rnacentral:lncRNA from 1 species